rnacentral:rRNA from 1 species
UUACGACUACAUAUCAGGCAUAUCAAUAAGCGGAGGAAAAGAAACUAACAAGGAUUCCCCUAGUAACGGCGAGUGAAGCGGGAAGAGCUCAAAUUUGAAAUCUUCAAGGGUUUCCCUUGACGAAUUGUAGUUUAUAGAAGUGUUUUCUGUUAGAGAGGUGGUAAAAGUUCUUUGGAAUAGGACAUCAUAGAGGGUGAGAAUCCCGUAUUUGAUCACUUUCUACUAACGUUGUGAUACACUUUCAACGAGUCGGAUUGUUUGGGAAUGCAGUCCAAAAUGGGUGGUAAAUUUCAUCUAAAGCUAAAUAUUGGCGAGAGACCGAUAGCGAACAAGUACCGUGAGGGAAAGAUGAAAAGAACUUUGAAAAGAGAGUUAAACAGUACGUGAAAUUGUCAAAAGGGAAGCGUUUGACACCAGUGUUGUUUAGUUGAGAAUCAAUUCAAUAGUUUUUGAUUCUAAGUAGUAUUGACUUCAUCAGCUUGCUGCUUUCUUCUCAGAAAUUAUUGAAUGCACUUUUCAGUUAACAAGUCAACAUCAAUUUCUUUUGUUGUAAAAGGGUAAGAGGAAGGUGGCUUGCGCUUCGGCUCAAGUGUUUAUAGCCUUUUAUCUCUGCAAUCGGAGAGAUUGAGGUCUGCAGCGUAGAUCCUUCGGGGCUAGAUACACUUGUGCUAAGUUAUAGCUUUUCAUAGACAACUUGUUGACUAUGUUUAGUCAUGUAGCUUACCCGCUUGUGCUAUUUUACCUACGCUUAGGAUGUUGAUCUACAGAGCGAGAGU